GACGAACGCUGGCGGCGUGCUUAACACAUGCAAGUCGAGCGGUAAGGCCCUUUCGGGGGUACACGAGCGGCGAACGGGUGAGUAACACGUGGGUGACCUGCCCUCAGCUCUGGGAUAAGCCUGGGAAACCGGGUCUAAUACCGGAUAUGACUCCAUGACGCAUGUUGUGGGGUGGAAAGCCUUGUGCGGCUGAGGAUGGGCCCGCGGCCUAUCAGCUUGUUGGUGGGGUGAUGGCCUACCAAGGCGACGACGGGUAGCCGGCCUGAGAGGGCGACCGGCCACACUGGGACUGAGACACGGCCCAGACUCCUACGGGAGGCAGCAGUGGGGGAUUUUGCACAAUGGACGAAAGUCUGAUGCAGUGACGCCGCGUGGGGAUGACGGCCUGG
rnacentral:rRNA from 1 species